UACGAAGGGUGCAAGCGUUAUUCGGAAUUACUGGGCGUAAAGCGUGCGCAGGCGGUUUUGUAAGACAGGCGUGAAAUCCCCGGGCUCAACCUGGGAACUGCCUUUGUGACUGCAAGGCUAGAGUACGGCAGAGGGGGAUGGAAUUCCGCGUGUAGCAGUGAAAUGCGUAGAUAUGCGGAGGAACACCAAUGGCGAAGGCAAUCCCCUGGGCCUGUACUGACGCUCAUGCACGAAAGCGUGGGGAGCAAACAGGAUUAGAAACCCCUGUAGU
rnacentral:rRNA from 1 species